CAAGGAGCUGCAGAAGCAUUUCCGUGGGGAAUGGUUCGCUAGCAUGCAGGACGUCACGCUGUUCUUCAAGAAGUACCUGACCCCCAACGAGCGAGCAGACCUGAUCAUGGUGGCCAUGGAGGCCAUGAGCAGCGCCGGCAGUCACGACAUCAGCGCGGCUUCCAAGAUGUUGAAGAUGGUCCUCAAGUACACCAUUCCGGAGAUUGGGAAGGUGCCGGAAAUCAUCCAGUACAUUCACUGCCACAUAAACAGCAUCACCGAGCCCACGGCCCAGAUGACCGUUAAGAAGAUCCUGUACCUGCUGGCCCAGUCCUACACAGACGAAGUCAUCCUGACGCUGUUCAAGAUAGAAGAUCAGUCCCAAAAAGGGGUCCACAACCCCUGGGAGAUCCUGGCAUCCUUCCCUAAAGGCUACGAAAUGAUCAUGGAGUACCUGCUGCAGAGGCUGACUCCGUACCAGCAAGUGCAGGCCCACGAUCCCGGCCGCAGACCCACCAUCUCCCCGCUGAUCGCCACCAGGGCCAUCUACGAGCUCCUGCAGGAACCGAGCCGCCGGAUCGAGGUGCAGACCUUCUUCUCCUCGCUGUUCUUGGCCCUGCUGUUCCAGGUCUCCUUCCUUGUGAUGGGAGGGGCUGCCGAAACCCUGCAGGAACUGCAUCACGUGGCCGAGUGGGCGGACCCUAUAAGGUACCUUUGGCCCCGAGACCCCCAUUUGCUAGUGACUGUGCUCCGGGCCGUCAGUUUAGCACCCUGGCCCGACUUGGUCCUCGCCUGCUGGGCCCGAACACGCCACCCCCUGUCGUGGGGGCACCUAGUGUGGCCCCCACAUCACUACAAGACGUCUCCCCGGACUCUUCGGAAAAGCCUCUCCGUGAGUCUGGCUCGCCAGGCUGCCGGGAGCUUCGGUACGGCGGCGAGCAGGCACGGCAGACGCUGCCACCACAGCACAGCUGGACCCGCAGCCGGGACUGCACGCCUACCCUCUGCCACUUCCCGCGUCCCCUUGGGGGAGCCCAAUCUCUCGUGGCUUUGUGAAAUGUCAGCCCGGGUCCCUCGCCAGGGCUGUCCCACCGCCAGCAGUUCCUGGUGCUAAGGGAGGCUCAGGUAGUCUCGGGUGGCCCGCGAGGGAGAGCAGGGCAGGCGCCGGUGACUCCGCUCUGCUCCCCGCCCUGCCCUAGUUCCACCGUGGAAGCCCUGAAGACCCUGGUACGCAGCUCCGGGUACGAGAACCUCGUGUCUUCCAUCGAGGAGCUUGGGGGCUGGGGGCUGCUCACCAGUCCCGAGAGGCACUACGAUGGCGUCGCUGUGGUGGCCAGGUGAGCUCGGCCUGGGCCCCGCUGCAGGCCCUCCCCUCCUCUCGGCCCUCCCCUGCGGCCCGGGCGAGCUCGCCCUGAGCGCCGUGCUCUCGUCCCCAGGUCCCUGGUGGACAACGACUGCUGGCACAACCGCCCCAUCUUCG
rnacentral:lncRNA from 1 species